rnacentral:rRNA from 1 species
AGCAGCCGCGGUAAUUCCAGCUCCAAUAGCGUAUAUUAAAGUUGUUGCAGUUAAAAAGCUCGUAGUUGAAUUUCGGGAUUAAUAUGUUGGUCGUGCCUUGGUACGUACUGGCAUUAUUGGUUCCUACCUUCUGAAGAACCUCGAUGUCAUUAAUUUGGUGUCUUGGGGAAUCAGGACUGUUACUUUGAAAAAAUUAGAGUGUUUAAAGCAGGCUCGCGCUUGAAUACAUUAGCAUGGAAUAAUGAAAUAGGACGUUUGAUUCUAUUUUGUUGGUUUCUAGGAUCGACGUAAUGAUUAAUAGGGAUAGUUGGGGGCAUUAGUAUUCAAUUGUCAGAGGUGAAAUUCUUGGAUUUAUUGAAGACUGACUACUGCGAAAGCAUUUGCCAAGGAUGUUUUCAUUAAUCAAGAACGAAAGUUAGGGGAUCGAAGACGAUCAGAUACCGUCGUAGUCUUAACCAUAAACUAUGCCGACUAGGGAUCGGAUGAUGUUAAUUUUUUAAUGACUCAUUCGGCGCCUUACG